rnacentral:misc_RNA from 1 species
GAUAAGAACGUAGCGAAAUGCGAUAAGUAAUGUGAAUUGCAGAAUUCAGUGAAUCAUCGAAUCUUUGAACGCACAUUGCGCCCCCUGGUAUUCCGGGGGGCAUGCCUGUUCGAGCGUCAUUUCAACCCUCAAGCUCUGCUUGGUAUUGGGCGUCGCCGGGGAGUCUCCCCGGCGUGCCUCAAAGCCAUCGGCGGUGGUGCCUUUCUCUAAGCGUGGUAGAAUUUUUAUUCGCUUCUGAGUUGGGCUUCGCCUGCCGGACAAACCGGGCCCUCGCGGCCCACCUUCUCAGGUUGACCUCGGAUCAGGUAGGGAUACCCGCUGAACUUAAGCAUAUCAAUAAGCGGAGGA